rnacentral:rRNA from 1 species
UACGUAGGGGGCUAGCGUUGUCCGGAUUUAUUGGGCGUAAAGAGCGUGUAGGCGGCCAGGUAGGUCUGCUGUGAAAACUCGAGGCUCAACCUCGAGCUGUCGGUGGAAACUAUCUGGCUAGAGUCCGGAAGAGGAGAAUGGAAUUCCUGGUGUAGCGGUGAAAUGCGCAGAUAUCAGGAAGAACACCCGUGGCGAAGGCGGUUCUCUGGGACGGUACUGACGCUGAGACGCGAAAGCGUGGGGAGCGAACAGG